CCGAGUUAGGGUACCUCGCGUGCCCGACCUCCAACCCUUUGUCUACCUGACCAGAUGUUGCUUCGGCAGGCCCGCCGCCCCCCUACGGGGGUGGCCGCCGGGGGUCCUUACCGGCCCCGGGUCCGCGCCUGUCGAUGGCCCUUCUAAACUCUUGCUUAAAACGUGUCGUCUGAGUAAAACAAACAAAUAAAAACA
rnacentral:misc_RNA from 1 species